ACCCGCUGAACUUAAGCAUAUCAAUAAGCGGAGGAAAAGAAACUAACAAGGAUUCCCCUAGUAACUGCGAGUGAAGCGGGAAAAGCUCAAAUUUAAAAUCUGGUAGUCUUUGGCUGCCCGAGUUGUAAUCUAGAGAAGUGUUACCCGUGCUGGACCGUGUACAAGUCUCCUGGAAUGGAGCGUCAUAGAGGGUGAGAAUCCCGUCUCUGACACGGACUCCCAGUGCUUUUGUGGUGCGCUCUCAACGAGUCGAGUUGUUUGGGAAUGCAGCUCAAAAUGGGUGGUGAAUUCCAUCUAAAGCUAAAUAUUGGCGAGAGACCGAUAGCGAACAAGUACCGUGAGGGAAAGAUGAAAAGAACUGUGGAAAGAGAGUUAAACAGUACGUGAAAUUGUUGAAAGGGGAACGCUUGAAGUCAGUCGCGUUGUCCGGAAAUCAACCUUGGUUCUCCUGGGUGUACUUUCCGGUUAACGGGCCAGCAUCAGUUUCGAUCGGUGGAAAAAGUCCAAGGGAAUGUGGCAUCUUCGGAUGUGUUAUAGCCCUUGGUCGUAUGCACCGGUUGGGACUGAGGAAUUCAGCACGCCGCAAGGCCGGGGUUCGCCCACGUUCGUGCUUAGGAUGCUGGCAUAAUGGCUUU
rnacentral:rRNA from 1 species